CCAAAAGCAAUGAUGGAGAAAAGUAAGCGAGAAACGGAUAUUCCAGAGAGAAGGUAUCAAUGGCUGAAAGUACCUUUAUUAUACAGCUUGCCCAAGUUCCCUCCGGAGCUGCAGCUUUGAACCGUGUUAUGAUAUUUUUCAUAUGUAGAGGCUGCCGGUUAAAACCGUUAUAUUUACAAAGAGUCCGGAUAUUCUAUUCGGAAAUCUGGGUGGUACCGCGAAGAUAGCCUUCGUCCCUUUA
rnacentral:ncRNA from 1 species